rnacentral:rRNA from 1 species
GCGAACGCUGGCGGCAGGCCUAACACAUGCAAGUCGAGCGCCCAGCAAUGGGAGCGGCAGACGGGUGAGUAACGCGUGGGGAUCUGCCCAAUGGUACGGAAUAACCCAGGGAAACUUGGAUUAAUACCGUAUGUGCCCUUCGGGGGAAAGAUUUAUCGCCAUUGGAUGAACCCGCGUCGGAUUAGCUAGUUGGUGUGGUAAAGGCGCACCAAGGCGACGAUCCGUAGCUG